GACGAACGCUGGCGGCGUGCUUAACACAUGCAAGUCGAACGAAGAGCGAUGGAAGCUUGCUUCUAUCAAUCUUAGUGGCGAACGGGUGAGUAACGCGUAAUCAACCUGCCCUUCAGUGGGGGACAACAGUUGGAAACGACUGCUAAUACCGCAUAAUGUUAUUUGAGGGCAUCCUCGAAUAACCAAAGCUUUAUGUGCUGAAAGAUGGCUUCGCGUCUGAUUAGCUAGUUGGUGAGGUAACGGCCCACCGAGGCGACGAUCAGUAGCCGGACUGAGAGGUUGAACAGCCACAUUGGGACUGAGAUACGGCCCAG
rnacentral:rRNA from 1 species